rnacentral:lncRNA from 1 species
CAGCAAGCGGGAAGAAACAGGCAGCCAAGUCGAAAGAGGAGCUAGCUCAGGAAAAGAAGAAGGAGCUGGAAAAGCGUCUGCAGGAUGUCAGCGGGCAGCUGAGCAGCAGCAAGAAGCCCGCCCGGAAAGAGAAGCCCGGCUCAGCACCCUCAGGGGGCCCGUCCAGGCUCAGCAGCAGCAGCUCCUCCGAGUCUGGGAGCAGCAGCUCCAGCGGGUCCAGCUCUGACAGCAGUGACUCAGAAUGAACUGGCUUCGGACAGAACAGGACAGAUGGAUGUCGCACACGCCGAGACUCUGCCGUACCCCUCUGUGGUUCAUAUUACUACUUCUGUUCCAUGGUGUGCAGGUCUGCUUCUUAAUUCAGUGUUAUGAUAUCUUCCAGUUUUUGCUUUCAUAGGUCAGAGAUCUAUCUUGUGUGUGCGUUAGACUUGAUGAGAAGGUGUGAACUCUGCAGAAAGUCUCUUCUUCAUCACUGAAUUCAGUCACUUGGAGAUGACAACUUCAAAUGCUAACCCGAUGACCCCAGAAAACCGUGUGAGAUUCGUACCGAAGAACCUUGUGGAAUCCCUUUGCUUAGGCCCAACCUGGUCGAUAGCUCGAGAAAGAAUUUUUUCCAAGGAAAUGUCUCGGAUAUGGGUACUGUAUUUGAAAGCUGUUAGCUUUGUCAACACGCAUUGUCCUUGUCAUUUGGGCCCCGAGCUCUGACCCUCGUGUCUGACGCGGCCACCUCUUUCUGGAGGGGCUGAGGACAGAUGUGCCUGCUUGUGGAGACCAGGCUGGGCCUAAGCGAAGGGUCAUCGCAGCCCCAGCCCGGAGCGUGGAGCCCUUGGGGGGUGGUCGGGUGGGAUGUGCGUUCUCCGCUCGUGGUGAUGUCAGGAGCUCCUCGGAGGGAACAGAGCGGCUGUGUAUGCAGCCUGCAGGUUUCCAUACACUGAAGCUUUUACCUCAACUUU